rnacentral:rRNA from 1 species
CACGGAGGGGGCUAGCGUUGUUCGGAAUGACUGGGCGUAAAGCGCGCGUAGGCGGUUCAGUAAGUUGGAUGUGAAAGCCCGGGGCUCAACCACGGAAGUGCGUUCGAUACUGCCGGACUUGAGACCGAGAGAGGAGAGAGGAAUUCCCAGUGUAGAGGUGAAAUUCGUAGAUAUUAGGAAGAACACCAGUGGCGAAGGCGGCUCUCUGGUCCGGUACUGACGCUGAGGUGCGAAAGCGUGGGGAGCAAACAGG